GAGUUUGAUCCUGGCUCAGGAUGAACGCUGGCGGCGUGCCUAAGACAUGCAAGUCGAGUGGGUUUAGACCCACGGCGAACGGGUGAGUAUAACCUCGGAACUUCCUUUAACUUUAGGAUAUCCUCCCGAAAGGGAGAGCAAUACUAAAUGUGGUCGCAAGACUAAAGUCGCAAGACGGUUAAAGCAAGGCCGGGGCUCCAUCAGCUAGUUGGUAGGGUAAAGGCCUACCAAGGCUAUGACGGAUAGGGGUACCGAGAGGUAUAACCCCCACACUGGGACUGCGACACGGCCCAGACUCCUACGGGAGGCAGCAGUUUGGAAUUUUGGACAAUGGGCGAAAGCCUGAUCCAGCGACGCCGCGUGCACGAAGAAGGCCUUCGGGUUGUAAAGUGCUUUUGCUUGGGAAAAAUUUUUGAUUGUACCAAGAGAAUAAGAGGUUGCUAACUCUGUGCCAGCAGCAGCGGUAAUACAGAGACCUCAAGCGUUAUCCGGAAUCAUUGGGCGUAAAGCGUACCGAUAGGUGGUCAUGGUAGUUUUGGGUAAAAGCCAGAAGCUCAACUUCUGCGUUUGCUCAAAAUACUCCACGACUAGAGGGGCAAAGAGGAAGCUGGAACGAAUGGUGUAGUAGUGAAAUGCGUAGAGAUCAUGAGGAAGACCAGUGGCGAAGGCGGGUCUCUGGACAGUUCCUGACACUGAGGCACGAAGGCCAGGGGAGCAAACGGGAUUAGAUACCCCGGUAGUCCUGGCAGUAAACGGUGCACGUUUGGUGUGGGAGGAUUCGACCCCUUCCGCGCCGGAGCUAACGCGUUAAACGUGCCGCCUGGGGAGUACGGUCGCAAGAUUAAAACUCAAAGAAAUUGACGGGGGCCCGCACAAGCGGUGGAGUAUGUGGCUUAAUUCGAUGCAACGCGAAGAACCUUACCAGGCCUUGACAUGCAUUUCUAAGUUGGUGAAAGCCAGCGAGUCCCGAAAGGGACAACUUGCACAGGUGCUGCAUGGCUGUCGUCAGCUCGUGUCGUGAGAUGUUGGGUUAAGUCCCGCAACGAGCGCAACCCUUGUCCCUAGUUGCUACGCAAGGGCACUCUAGGGAGACUGCCGGUGACAAACCGGAGGAAGGUGGGGAUGACGCCAAGUCCUCAUGGCCCUUAUGGGUAGGGCUUCACACGUCAUACAAUGGCCGGUACAGAGGGUUGCCAAAGCGCGAGCUGGAGCCAAUCCCCAUAAAAGCCGGUCGUAGUCCGGAUUGCAGUCUGCAACUCGACUGCAUGAAGUCGGAAUCGCUAGUAAUCGCGGAUCAGCAUGUCGCGGUGAUACGUUCCCGGGUCUUGUACACAC
rnacentral:rRNA from 1 species